rnacentral:tRNA from 1 species
GCCCUCGUAGCUCAAUUGGCAGAGCAGCUGGCUCUUAACCAGAAGGUUGCAGGUUCGACUCCUGCCGGGGGCA